rnacentral:rRNA from 1 species
GACGAACGCUGGCGGCGUGCUUCAUACAUGCAAGUCGAACGAGAAGUUGACUUCGGUCAGUGGACAGUGGCGGACGGGUGGGUAAUAUGUAGGAAAUCUGCCUUUAGGAGGAGGGCAACAGCGGGAAACUUCUGCUAAUACCCCAUAUGAGCGUAGCUGAAAUGCUAUUCUUGAAAACUCCGGUGACUAAAGAUGAGCCUGCAUCUGAUUAGCUAGUUGGUAGUGUAAUGGACUACCAAGGCGACGAUCAGUAGCUGGUUUGAGAGGAUGAUCAGCAAACAUGGGACGGAGACACGGCCCAUACUCCUACGGGAGACGGCGGUAGGGAAUUUUGGGCAAGGGGCGAAAGCCUGACGCAGCAACGCCGCGUGAACGAUUAAGCCCAUCGGGGUGUAAAGUUCUGUCAGUGGGGACGAACCUUGACGGUACCCACAGAGGAAGCACCGGCUAACUCCGUG